CUAGUUUGACUGGUUUAGUAGAUUCUAUUAAUCGAAAUAGUUAGAUCUUACAUAUAUUUGGUGCGUUUACAACGGGUUGUUAGGUAAAAUUUUGUAAGUAGUGAUAAAUUAGUCGUUAACUAUUAUAUCUAUUUUAGGAGUAAAUUUUUUAGCUUAGGGCGGAGGCAAUGAGGUCUUUACCCUCGCUACAUCUGGUAUUAUAAUUUGAUUUAACUAGGGUUAGGGUUACCCCUGUUACAUAAAAAUGUUACUAUUUUUUCUUGAUUAUUCGGAUUAGUGCUAUAUCUCCUAUGUUUAAAUUAGGUGUUAUCAUUUAUGAAUUAAUUAGUAAUUAUAUUAACUAUAUUUUUUCUCGCCCUUAGUCCGACUGUUUAUUAAAAACAUUUCCACUCGUUACUAAUGUGUGGUAAGACCUGCCCAGUGAUUUUUAACGGCCGCAGUAUAUUGACUGUGCGAAGGUAGCAUAAUUAAUUGCCCCAUAAUUGGGGGCUUGUUUGAAUGGUUUUACGCGAUUGAUGUGUAUAAAUUAUAGUUAUUAUUGAAUUUAAUAAGACGAGUACAGAAUCUGUCAAGUUUAAUUAGACGGAAAGACCCCAGGAUCUUUUCUUUUUGUCUGGGGCAGAUUAUAUUAUUUUAAUGUAUUUGUGAUCCGCAGUCUAUAGGUUUAAGUUACCCUGGGGAUAACAGGGUUAUAAUUCAUUAGAGAUCAUAUCGAGUGAAUUGAUUGCUACCUCGAUGUUGACUUGGGUUGGUCCACUGGCGCAGUUGUUUUUGGGCUUGGUCUGUUCGACCCUACAAACCCUCAUGAGUUGAGUUAAGACCGGCGUAA
rnacentral:rRNA from 1 species